rnacentral:rRNA from 1 species
GACGAACGCUGGCGGCGUGCUUAACACAUGCAAGUCGAACGGAAAGGCCCUGCUUUUGUGGGGUUCUCGAUUGGCGAACGGGUGAGUAACACGUGAGUAACCUGCCCUUGACUUUGGGAUAACUUCAGGAAACUGGGGCUAAUACCGGAUAGGAGCUCCUGCUGCAUGGUGGGGGUUGGAAAGUUUCGGCGGUUGGGGAUGGACUCGCGGCUUAUCAGCUUGUUGGUGGGGUAGUGGCUUACCAAGGCUUUGACGGGUAGCCGGCCUGAGAGGGUGACCGGCCACAUUGGGACUGAGAGACGGCCCAGACGGCUACGGGAGGCAGAAGUGGGGAAUAUUGCACAAUGGGCGGAAGCUUGGUGAAGCAGCGCCGCGUGCGGGAUGACGGCCUUCGGGUUGAGAACAGCUGUCGCCUGUGACGAAGCGUGAGUGACGGUAAUGGAUAAAGAAGCACCGGCUAACUACGUG